UCUCGAUAAUGGCAAACCCAGGGCGGCCUGGGGGGCGUAAAGUGUAGGGUCUUUAGAGAUAAAGACAGCCUUACUGCCGAA
rnacentral:ncRNA from 1 species